AACGUGCCCUUCGGGAGCCUCAAGACAGGUGCUGCAUGGCUGUCGUCAGCUCGUGUCGUGAGAUGUUGGUUAAGUCCCGCAACGAGCGCAACCCCUGUCUCUAGUUACCAUCAUUCAGUUUGGGGACUCUAGAGAUACUGCCAAGGUUAACUUGGAGGAAGUGGGGAUGACGUCAAGUCCUCAUGGCCUUUAUGUCCAGGGCUACACACGUGCUACAAUGGGCGGUACAGAGGGUAGCGAUAUCGCGAGAUGGAGCCAAUCCCAAAAAGCCGUUCCCAGUUCGGAUUGGAGUCUGCAACUCGACUCCAUGAAGUUGGAAUUGCUAGUAAUGGCAGGUCAGCAUACUGCCGUGAAUACGUUCCCGGGCCUU
rnacentral:rRNA from 1 species